GAUGAACGCUGGCGGCGUGCCUAAUACAUGCAAGUCGAGCGAACGGACGAGAAGCUUGCUUCUCUGAUGUUAGCGGCGGACGGGUGAGUAACACGUGGAUAACCUACCUAUAAGACUGGGAUAACUUCGGGAGACCGUAGCUAAUACCGGAUAAUAUUUUGAACCGCAGGGUUCAAAAGUGAAAGACGGUCUUGCGGUCACUUAUAGAUGGAUCCGCGCUGCCUUAGCGAGUUGGUAAGGUACCGGCUUACCAAGGCAACGAUGCAUAGCCGACCUGAGAGGGUGGUCGGCCACAUCGGACCUGAGGCACGGUCCAGACUCCUCCGGGAGGCAGCGGUAGGGGAUCUUCCGCAAUGGGCGCAAGCCUAACGGAGCAACGGCGCGUGAGUGAUGAGGGUCUUCGGAUCGUAAUACUCUGUUAUCAGGGAAGAACAUAUGUGUAAGUCACUGCGCACAUAUUGACGGUACCUACUCAGAAAGCCCCGGCUAACUUCGUG
rnacentral:rRNA from 1 species